GGGCAAUUAGCUCAGUUGGUAGAGCGCACGCUUCGCACCUCUGCGAAGAUUGCGUGAGGUCCAGGUUUCGAUUACCUGAUUGUCCA